AUCCAGUAGAUGAGUCCAAAAUGGGACGAAAGGCGAAUCCUGGAU
rnacentral:hammerhead_ribozyme from 1 species